rnacentral:rRNA from 1 species
UCUGGUUGAUCCUGCCAGAAUCAUAUGCUUGUCCCGAAGCUUAAGCCAUGCAUGUGUCAGAACAAUAGUAGCUUGAUCUAGAAUCUGCGAACGGCUCCGUAUAUCUGUUAUAACCUACCGCCGCUCAAAACCAGCGGCAUAACCACGGUAAUUCUGUGGCUAAUACGUGUACUACGGGCGCUGCCGGGCGCAAGCCUGGCGGCCCUGGUCUUGCCGGUCGACCAACGGCGGGUAAAACCGCUCGCGUGAGAGCUGGCAAGGGUACCUGACCGCGGCACCAGCUGCGGCACGAGCGGUGGGCAUCAGACCUAUCAACUAGAUGCCCAGGUAUUGUCUGGGCAUGGUGAUAACGGGUACAGAGGAUCAGGGUUCGGUCCUGGAGAGGUAGCCUGAGAGAUCGCUACUACUUCUAAGGAAGGCAGCAGGCGCGCAACGUUCCCAAUGGGGGCACCCUGAGGACGUGAAGGGACAUAUCAAUGCCCGGCCCUUAAAGCCGGGCAAUUGAAAUGGGGGACCUUUAAACCCCACACCGAGUAACAAUUGGAGGACAAGUCUGGUGCCAGCACCCGCGGUAAUUCCAGCUCCAAUAGCAUCUUGUUAAGUUGUUGCAGUUAAAACGCUCGUAGUCAAAGCCAGUGCGUCCCCUGGGCUCCUAGUACUGCGGUGCGCCCGCCUCGCCCCUAGCGGGGCCGAGGCGGGACCCGUGGGAGCGUUGUUCGGAGGCCACUAUUACGCUGGGGGAACCGGACGGGCGGGGCUUCAGUGUCCCGACCGCCCACCCUCGGCACUUUACUUUGAACAAACGUGAGCGCUCGAAGCAGGCCAUAUCUCGGGUUAAUGAUCUAUAGGGGCGAUCGGGGCGAGCCACAUGGCGGGGGUAGGGGUGAAAUCCGUUGAUCCUCGCCAGGUGAACUAAAGCGAAGGCAGCUCGCAAGUACGCUUUCUUUGAUCAAGAACGAAAGUCUGGGGAUCGAAGAUGAUCAGAUACCAUCGUAGUCCAGACCCUAAAUCAUGCCGGCCAUGGAUGGGCUCUCGUCCAUCCCGACCCAGCCCGCACUUUAUAGGAAAC